AGAAUUCUAAAUGAUGCAAAUAUGGGGCAUGCUUAUGAUGGUUUACUAUGGACCAUAAGGAGUCUACAGGAGCUCUUCUUUGCAUCUUCAUCGGGAAUCUCAUUGAGAACUUCGCUCAUGUCAAGUGUGUUUGAAUGGGGUUGGCGAUCAAUAUGGAGUUGUCUAAUGCAUGGGUUGCCAAUAUUCAGCAACAUAACCACAGUUGU